AGGAGAGUAAUGGCACCUGUCUUUCCUUUUACAAUACUGGAAGUGGUCCACACCCAUCCCAAUGGCCACAGGCUUCUCAAAAUCACACUUCAGUUUCAAAAUUGUCUUUCCUGACAUCUGACUUUUCGGAUGCUUCAGAAGGGCCCCUGGAGUAUACAGAAAAGAGGUUAUAUUCAUUUCCCAAGUGAAAGGGGCUGGGCGGAGACCAAACUACACCGGUCGCAGUCAAGAGAUCUUUAUUGGAGGUAUCGAGUGGCACCACGCAAGGAGAAGGAAGAGAAGAGAGAGAGGGCUGCUGGUGUGCUGGGUUUUAUAUCCCUUGGGCCUACGUGGAGCAGGCCCAAGGGAAGGCG